CUUCUCUCUGCCCGUCUCUGCUUCCCCCCCCUUCCCCCCCCCCUUUUCUCCCGGCCGACGGAGCUGAAGGGGCGGGGGUUCCUUCCUUGGAGUGUUUCUAGAGCUCGGAGGCUGCUGGUAGGGGGAAGUUGUACCCGUCAGCACCUGCUGAGGGCUUUGUUGUCCAAACCCUGACAGGUAAAAAAAUUCCUGCAGAAUAAAGCCAGACCAGCUGGCUUUGAAGAGAAACCCCCCAGUUUGGGCUGCGUUUGCCUCCUCUCCUUUUCUAUGAAGACCGAGGCUUUGCCCCCUUGAUCGUCAAGCCGUGAGAUGCGUGAUCUCUCUGCACAAGUGUCUGGCAGGCCGAGGUGCACCUGUUUCUGUCACUCUGGAGUAAAUUUAGCUGUAAAGGUAUCACUGACAACCAGACCUUUGUCAGUGCUGGCAAAAGAACACAGAAUUGCUUCCCUCCCCUCCCCCCUCCCGACCCCCUAUGCUGCUAGUUCCAAUGGAAAAUAUCCAAUCGGAAGUCUAUCCAAAAAUCAUUCCUAAAAAAUGAAAUUGCUUUCAUAUGGUAUAAAAAAGUAAGUUUCCUCAUUUCAAGCAGAUUUUAAAAUUACAUUUCCAAGAAUAAUCUUGGAACAAGACAAGUUUUCGUUCAAUUAAUUGUGGCUGGAAACUUUUUAAUGGAAACAUAGCACAUACUUACUUCAUUUCAGGUUAUUAAAUUGUGUUAAGCAUAAAAGUUAUUUGCCAUUCUUUGUUGCAGCUCAUUUGUUCUUUUCGAUUCUAAGAAAUAUUAGAAGGUUAAAUAACUUAUCACAUAGGAGAGAUUAUUCAUACUACCAAAAUUAGAAUGUGUGUAGUUCUGAGGGACUGAAUGUCAAAAUUGUAUGCUCAUAGCACUAAAACUAUUGGGAAUCUAGGAUGCCACUGGAACAUGUAAAAUGGCAGCUAAGGUCUAUGGAAACCCUUCAUGUUUAGAAACUGGCUAAAGCUUGAGUUCUCUUAUCUUUUGGUUAAGGGCACCACUUUCAGAUAAAAACAUAGACCUGAAUGGCAUCAUCCAGUAUCCAAGGAAACCAUGCAGUUUUGAACAUCUGGAGGCCUGAUUUAUUGGAGAUUGCAAAUGUACAGUGUAACAUAGCUGUGGAGAGCGAGAAGAUCAGGAUUGUCAAUGCUGUCAUUGCUUUUACUGGAAUCCCCAGCACGAAUUGAAGGUUUGACCAGAGACAAAGAAGCAAAUGCUAUCAAUUAACAUUCACAUGUGGUAGGUCUCACUUUGCCACCUAGGCUGGAUGCAAUGCAACGGUAUGUUGAUCUUGGUUCACUGCAGCCUCAACCUCCUGAGCUCAUGUGAUCCUCCCACCUCAGUCCCCCACGUCGCUUGGAUUACAGGCCUGUGCCACCACACCUGGCUAACUUUUUUUGUAAUUUUUGUAGAGACAGGGUCUCACUAUGUUUCCCAUGCUGGUCUUUAAUGCCUGAGCUCAAGCCAUCCGCCUGCCUCGGCCUCCCAAAUUGCUGGGAUUACAGGCAUGAGCCACCAUGCCCAGCCUAAUUCUUCUAAAUCUUAUCCUAGUAAUUAAGCCAGAAUUUUUCUCUGCCAAGACCAAUAGAUGGACCAAGAAGUACUCAUCCUUGUAAACUUUCUUUGGAUAAAUUGCUUACAUAUAAUAAAUUCAGAGUUAAGUAAUAAAAAUAAUGAACUACUGUCUUG
rnacentral:lncRNA from 10 species